rfam:Rozella allomycis CSF55 unplaced genomic scaffold scaffold_878, whole genome shotgun sequence.
CAAUAGGUCUUUUUAAAGACCACUCCUUUUAAAGAUGUUCAAUAAU